rnacentral:rRNA from 1 species
GUGUCAGCAGCCGCGGUAAUACGAAGGGUGCAAACGUUGCUCGGAAUCAUUGGGCGUAAAGCGCACGUAGGCGGCAUUCUAAGUCGGAUGUGAAAUCCCUCGGCUCAACCGAGGACGUGCAUCCGAAACUGGAACGCUCGAGUAUGGAAGAGGGUCGCGGAAUUCUCGGUGUAGAGGUGAAAUUCGUAGAUAUCGGGAGGAACACCAGUGGCGAAGGCGGCGACCUGGGCCAAUACUGACGCUGAGGUGCGAAAGCGUGGGGAGCAAACAGGAUUAGAUACCCCCGUAGUCC